UACGUAGGGUGCGAGCGUUGUCCGGAAUUAUUGGGCGUAAAGGGCUCGUAGGCGGUUUGUCGCGUCGGGAGUGAAAACCUACAGCUUAACUGUGGGCUUGCUUUCGAUACGGGCAGACUAGAGGUAUGCAGGGGAGAAUGGAAUUCCUGGUGUAGCGGUGAAAUGCGCAGAUAUCAGGAGGAACACCGGUGGCGAAGGCGGUUCUCUGGGCCGAUACUGACGCUGAGGAGCGAAAGCGUGGGGAGCAAACAGG
rnacentral:rRNA from 1 species